rnacentral:rRNA from 1 species
UACGUAGGUCCCGAGCGUUGUCCGGAUUUAUUGGGCGUAAAGCGAGCGCAGGCGGUUAGAUAAGUCUGAAGUUAAAGGCUGUGGCUUAACCAUAGUACGCUUUGGAAACUGUUUAACUUGAGUGCAGAAGGGGAGAGUGGAAUUCCAUGUGUAGCGGUGAAAUGCGUAGAUAUAUGGAGGAACACCGGUGGCGAAAGCGGCUCUCUGGUCUGUAACUGACGCUGAGGCUCGAAAGCGUGGGGAGCGAACAGGAUUAGAUACCCUGGUAGUCCACGCCGUAAACGAUGAGUGCUAGGUGUUAGGCCCUUUCCGGGGCUUAGUGCCGCAGCUAACGCAUUAAGCACUCCGCCUGGGGAGUACGACCGCAAGGUUGAAACUCAAAGGAAUUGACGGGGGCCCGCACAAGCGGUGGAGCAUGUGGUUUAAUUCGAAGCAACGCGAAGAACCUUACCAGGUCUUGACAUCCCGAUGCCCGCUCUAGAGAUAGAGUUUUACUUCGGUACAUCGGUGACAGGUGGUGCAUGGUUGUCGUCAGCUCGUGUCGUGAGAUGUUGGGUUAAGUCCCGCAACGAGCGCAACCCUUAUUGUUAGUUGCCAUCAUUCAGUUGGGCACUCUAGCGAGACUGCCGGUAAUAAACCGGAGGAAGGUGGGGAUGACGUCAAAUCAUCAUGCCCCUUAUGACCUGGGCUACACACGUGCUACAAUGGCUGGUACAACGAGUCGCAAGUCGGUGACGGCAAGCUAAUCUCUUAAAGCCAGUCUCAGUUCGGAUUGUAGGCUGCAACUCGCCUACAUGAAGUCGGAAUCGCUAGUAAUCGCGGAUCAGCACGCCGCGGUGAAUACGUUCCCGGGCCUUGUACACACCGCCCGUCACACCACGAGAGUUUGUAACACCCGAAGUCGGUGAGGUAACCUUUUAGGAGCCAGCCGCCUAAGGUGGGAUAGAUGAUUGGGGUGAAGUCGUAACAAGGUAGCCGUAUCGGAAG